rnacentral:rRNA from 1 species
UAACACAUCAUAACGGAGGANAAAGAAACCAACAGGGAUUGCCCUAGUAACGGCGAGUGAAGCGGCAACAGCUCAAAUUUGAAAUCUGGCCCUUGGGUCCGAAUUGUAAUUUGUAGAGGAUGUUUUUGGUGCGGUAUCUUCCGAGUUCCUUGGAACAGGACGCCUUAGAGGGUGAGAGCCCCGUACGGUUGAAUGCCUAGCCUUUGUAAAACUCCUUCGACGAGUCGAGUAGUUUGGGAAUGCUGCUCUAAAUGGGAGGUAAAUUUCUUCUAAAGCUAAAUACCGGCCAGAGACCGAUAGCGCACAAGUAGAGUGAUCGAAAGAUGAAAAGCACUUUGAAAAGAGGGUUAAAUAGCACGUGAAAUUGUUGAAAGGGAAGGAUUUAUGACCAGACUUUUUCUAGGCAAAUCAUCCGGUGUUCUCACCGGUGCACUUUGUUUAGUUUAGGCCAGCAUCGAUUUUCGGAGUGGGAUAAAAGCUUUAGGAAUGUGGCUCCCUCGGGAGUGUUAUAGCCUAUUGUAUAAUACCACUCUGGGGAUCGAGGUACGCGCUUCUGCAAGGAUGCUGGCGUAAUGGUUAUCAAUCACCCGUCUUGAAACACGGACCAAGGAGUCGAACAUUUGUGCAAGUGUUUGGGUGUUAAACCCUCACGCGUAAUGAAAGUGAACGGAGGUGAGAGCCCUUACGGGUGCAUCAUCGACCGAUCCUGAUGUCUUCGGAUGGAUUUGAGUAAGAGCAUAAAUGUUCGGACCCGAAAGAUGGUGAACUAUGCGUGGAUAGGGUGAAGCCAGAGGAAACUCUGGUGGAGGCUCGCAGCGGUUCUGACGUGCAAAUCGAUCGUCAAAUCUGCGCAUGGGGGCGAAAGACUAAUCGAACCAUCUAGUAGCUGGUUACCGCGAGAUUUCCCUCCGGAAAACCA